rnacentral:rRNA from 1 species
UACGAAGGGGGCUAGCGUUGCUCGGAAUCACUGGGCGUAAAGGGUGCGUAGGCGGGUCUUUAAGUCAGGGGUGAAAUCCUGGAGCUCAACUCCAGAACUGCCCUUGAUACUGGAAAGCUUGAGUUCGGGAGAGGUGAGUGGAACUGCGAGUGUAGAGGUGAAAUUCGUAGAUAUUCGCAAGAACACCAGUGGCGAAGGCGGCUCACUGGCCCGAUACUGACGCUGAGGUGCGAAAGCGUGGGGAGCAAACAGG